UACGUAGGGGGCAAGCGUUGUCCGGAAUCACUGGGCGUAAAGGGCGCGUAGGCGGUCUGGUAAGCGUGUGGUGAAAGCUCGGGGCUCAACCCCGAGUCGGCCGUGCGAACUGCGAGACUGGAGCAGAUCAGAGGCAGGCGGAAUUCCGGGUGUAGCGGUGGAAUGCGUAGAGAUCCGGAAGAACACCGGUGGCGAAGGCGGCCUGCUGGGAUCUUGCUGACGCUGAGGCGCGACAGCGUGGGGAGCAAACAGG
rnacentral:rRNA from 1 species